rnacentral:rRNA from 1 species
UACAGGGGGGGCAAGCGUUGUUCGGAAUUACUGGGCGUAAAGGGCUCGUAGGCGGCCAACUAAGUCACACGUGAAAUCCCCAGGCUUAACCUGGGAACUGCGUGUGAUACUGGAUGGCUUGAAUUCGGGAGAGGGAUGCAGAAUUCCAGGUGUAGCGGUGAAAUGCGCAGAUAUCAGGAGGAACACCAGUGGCGAAGGCAGGCU